rnacentral:rRNA from 1 species
UAGUCCACGCCGUAAACGAUGUCGACUUGGAGGUUGUUCCCUUGAGGAGUGGCUUCCGGAGCUAACGCGUUAAGUCGACCGCCUGGGGAGUACGGCCGCAAGGUUAAAACUCAAAUGAAUUGACGGGGGCCCGCACAAGCGGUGGAGCAUGUGGUUUAAUUCGAUGCAACGCGAAGAACCUUACCUACUCUUGACAUCCAGAGAACUUAGCAGAGAUGCUUUGGUGCCUUCGGGAACUCUGAGACAGGUGCUGCAUGGCUGUCGUCAGUUCGUGUUGUGAAAUGUUGGGUUAAGUCCCGCAACGAGCGCAACCCUUAUCCUUUGUUGCCAGCGGUUAGGCCGGGAACUCAAAGGAGACUGCCAGUGAUAAACUGGAGGAAGGUGGGGAUGACGUCAAGUCAUCAUGGCCCUUACGAGUAGGGCUGCACACGUGCUACAAUGGCGCAUACAAAGAGAAGCGACCUCGCGAGAGCAAGCGGACCUCAUAAAGUGCGUCGUAGUCCGGAUUGGAGUCUGCAACUCGACUCCAUGAAGUCGGAAUCGCUAGUAAUCGUAGAUCAGAAUGCUACGGUGAAUACGUUCCCGGGCCUUGUACACACCGCCCGUCACACCAUGGGAGUGGGUUGCAAAAGAAGUAGGUAGCUUAACCUUCGGGAGGGCGCUUACCACUCUGUGAUUCAUGACUGGGG